UACGUAGGGGGCAAGCGUUGUCCGGAUUUAUUGGGCGUAAAGAGCGUGUAGGCGGCCAGAUAGGUCCGUUGUGAAAACCCGAGGCUCAACCUCGGGAUGUCGAUGGAAACCGUCUGGCUAGAGUCCGGAAGAGGAGUGUGGAAUUCCUGGUGUAGCGGUGAAAUGCGCAGAUAUCAGGAGGAACACCGAUGGCGAAGGCAGCUCUCUGGGACGGUACUGACGCUGAGGUGCGAAAGCGUGGGGAGCGAACAGG
rnacentral:rRNA from 1 species